rnacentral:rRNA from 1 species
AACGAACGCUGGCGGCAUGCCUAACACAUGCAAGUCGAACGAGACCUUCGGGUCUCGUGGCGCACGGGUGCGUAACGCGUGGUAACCUGCCCUUAGGUUCGGAAUAACUCCCCGCAAGGGGUGCUAAUACCUGCUAAUGUCUUCGGACCAAAGAUUUAUCGCCUUUGGAUGGGCCCGCGUUGGAUUAGCUAGUUGGUAGGUUAAAAGCCUACCAAGGCGACGAUCCAUAGCUGGUCAGAGAGGAUGAUCAGCCACACUGGGACUGAGACACGGCCCAGACUCCUACGGGAGGCAGCAGUGGGGAAUAUUGGACAAUGGGCGAAAGCCAGAGCCAGAAAUGCCGCGUGAGUGAUGAAGGCCUUAGGGUUGUAAAGCUCUUUUAGCAGGGAUGAUAAUGACAGUACCGGGAGAAUAAGCUCCGGCUAACUCCGUG